UGAGGAAUCUUGCGCAAUGGGGGAAACCCUGACGCAGCAACGCCGCGUGAGUGAGGAAGGCCUUCGGGUCGUAAAGCUCUGUCAGAUGGGAAGAAAUGGGUGGGGGCUAAUAUCGUCCAUCCUUGACGGUACCAUCAGAGGAAGCACCGGCUAACUCCGUGCCAGCAGCCGCGGUAAUACGGGGGGUGCAAGCGUUGUUCGGAAUCAUUGGGCGUAAAGCGCGCGCAGGCGGCUUGGUCAGUCAGAUGUGAAAGCCCUGGGCUUAACCCAGGAAGUGCAUUUGAUACUGCCUCGCUAGAGUACGGGAGAGGAAAGUGGAAUUCCUGGUGUAGAGGUGAAAUUCGUAGAUAUCGGGAGGAACACCAGUGGCGCAAGCGGCGUCCUGGCCCACACCUGACGCUGAGGUACGAAAGCGUGGGUAGCAAACAG
rnacentral:rRNA from 1 species